rnacentral:rRNA from 1 species
CCUACGGGUGGCAGCAGUGAGGAAUAUUGGUCAAUGGGCGCGAGCCUGAACCAGCCAAGUAGCGUGAAGGAUGACUGCCCUACGGGUUGUAAACUUCUUUUAUAAAGGAAUAAAGUGAGGCACGUGUGCCUUUCUGUAUGUACUUUAUGAAUAAGGAUCGGCUAACUCCGUGCCAGCAGCCGCGGUAAUACGGAGGAUCCGAGCGUUAUCCGGAUUUAUUGGGUUUAAAGGGAGCGUAGAUGGUUUGUUAAGUUAGUUGUGAAAUUUUGCGGCUCAACCGUAAAAUUGCAAUUGAUACUGGCAGUCUUGAGUACAGUUGAGGUAGGCGGAAUUCGUGGUGUAGCGGUGAAAUGCUUAGAGAUCACGAAGAACUCCGAUUGCGAAGGCAGCUUACUAAGCUGCCACUGACAUUGAUGCUCGAAAGUGUGGGGAUCAAACAGGAUUAGAUACCCGUGUAGUC